UACGUAGGGCGCGAGCGUUUGUCCGGAAUUAUUGGGCGUAAAGAGCUCGUAGGCGGCUUGUCACGUCGGGUGUGAAAGACCGGGGCUUAACUCCGGUUCUGCAUUCGAUACGGGCUAGCUAGAGUGUGGUAGGGGAGAUCGGAAUUCCUGGUGUAGCGGUGAAAUGCGCAGAUAUCAGGAGGAACACCGGUGGCGAAGGCAGGUCUCUGGGCAUUAACUGACGCUGAGGAGCGAAAGCAUGGGGAGCGAACAGG
rnacentral:rRNA from 1 species